CCUACGGGAGACAGCAGUGAGGAAUAUUGGGCAAUGGAGGCAACUCUGACCCAGCAACGCCGCGUGAAUGAUGAAGGUCUUCGGAUUGUAAAGUUCUGUGAUGGGGGAUGAACACAAUGACGGUACCCCAAUAGCAAGCCACGGCUAACUACGUGCCAGCAGCCGCGGUAAUACGUAGGUGGCAAGCGUUAUCCGGAAUGACUGGGCGUAAAGGGUGCGGAGGUGGUUUAGUAAGUUGGCGGUGUAAUUCCGGGGCUCAACCUCGGCGCUACCGCCAAAACUAUUAGACUAGAGUGCAGGGGGGGUAAGUGGAAUUCCUAGGGUAGCGGUGGAAUGCGUAGAUAUUAGGAGGAACAUCAGGGGCGAAGGCGACUUACUGGACUGUAACUGACACUGAGGCACGAAAGCGUGGGGAGCAAACAGGAUUAGAUACCCUAGUAGUC
rnacentral:rRNA from 1 species